rnacentral:lncRNA from 1 species
CAAAUCUCAAAUUUUCUAGUUCAGAAAACUAACUAAUAAACCAAACAUUUUUUUAAACUUUUCCUGUUUAAUUUAGACAAAAUUUUUAAUCUUUCUCGUUCCUCCUAAACUCCCCAAAUCUAAAAAACCCCAACUGUGUCACCUUAUCAACCCCAACUCUUCUCUCAGCCACUCCUUCCUUUUCUUUCUCUUACAAUCCAAUGCAAUCUCUUACUAUCUAACUCAAUUUUUCCCUCUCAAUCUCGUCUCUUUUCAAUCCGUAAACUUACAUCUUUCUAUAAUAAUCCAACAGAAUCCCAUACGCCCGUGAAAUUCUAGCCACUUUUUUGCCUAAUGCCAAUCUUCGUCAUCGAGAAAAAUGAUUUAAGGGGUUUAAUUUAGCUCCACGAUCGUGGACAGAUGCCUUGGUCAAAGUUAAAUAGCGUUGUUAGAGGCUGUUUAAAGAAGAAGAAGAAGAAGAAGCAGAAGCACCACUUAGGUCAAGCAGUUGUAGAUCUGGGCAUGGUAAUUAAGUAAGGUGAGCAUUAGCUAAAUAAUUAAUAAUUGUUAAAUAUUCUCUACUUAUAUGUGAAUUUAGUAAGAAGUUAAUUUGGUUCUUUUUGUUGAAUUUUAAGUAGGUUUUCUAAUUCUUUUAUUUUUAUUCAACUAAUAAACGGUUUUGGAAUUUUUUUUCUUUCCGCAUUUUGAUUUGUUGAUAUGUGAAUGGUAAAAGUUGUGUCAUAUGGACCAUUUUCCAUGUUUAACAUAAAAAUAUCACAAAUUACUGAUACUAUAGUAUAUGUAACUUAGACAUCAGAGAUUUCUGACAUUAAGGUAUCAGUAAUAAAAAUAAAGUAAUUCUAAUUAGGUUCCAAAUAGAACUCGAACCGAGGACCUCUAAUACUCAAGCGUUUAAAAGUCAAAAAAAAAAGACCAGGAAGUCCAAAUCUCAAAUUUUCUAGUUCAGAAAACUAACUAAUAAACCAAACAUUUUUUUAAACUUUUCCUGUUUAAUUUAGACAAAAUUUUUAAUCUUUCUCGUUCCUCCUAAACUCCCCAAAUCUAAAAAACCCCAACUGUGUCACCUUAUCAACCCCAACUCUUCUCUCAGCCACUCCUUCCUUUUCUUUCUCUUACAAUCCAAUGCAAUCUCUUACUAUCUAACUCAAUUUUUCCCUCUCAAUCUCGUCUCUUUUCAAUCCGUAAACUUACAUCUUUCUAUAAUAAUCCAACAGAAUCCCAUACGCCCGUGAAAUUCUAGCCACUUUUUUGCCUAAUGCCAAUCUUCGUCAUCGAGAAAAAUGAUUUAAGGGGUUUAAUUUAGCUCCACGAUCGUGGACAGAUGC